UACGUAGGGGGCAAGCGUUGUCCGGAAUCAUUGGGCGUAAAGCGCGUGUAGGCGGCCUGAUAAGUCCGUUCUGAAAGCCCGGGGCUCAACCCCGGGAGGCGGAUGGAUACUGUCAGGCUCGAGUCCGGAAGAGGCAAGUGGAAUUCCCGGUGUAGCGGUGAAAUGCGCAGAUAUCGGGAGGAACACCAAUGGCGAAGGCAGCUUGCUGGGACGGUACUGACGCUGAGACGCGAAAGCGUGGGGAGCAAACAGG
rnacentral:rRNA from 1 species